rnacentral:rRNA from 1 species
UGGCUCAGAUUGAACGCUGGCGGCAGGCCUAACACAUGCAAGUCGAGCGGAUGAAAGGAGCUUGCUCCUGGAUUCAGCGGCGGACGGGUGAGUAAUGCCUAGGAAUCUGCCUGGUAGUGGGGGACAACGUUUCGAAAGGAACGCUAAUACCGCAUACGUCCUACGGGAGAAAGCAGGGGACCUUCGGGCCUUGCGCUAUCAGAUGAGCCUAGGUCGGAUUAGCUAGUUGGUGAGGUAAUGGCUCACCAAGGCGACGAUCCGUAACUGGUCUGAGAGGAUGAUCAGUCACACUGGAACUGAGACACGGUCCAGACUCCUACGGGAGGCAGCAGUGGGGAAUAUUGGACAAUGGGCGAAAGCCUGAUCCAGCCAUGCCGCGUGUGUGAAGAAGGUCUUCGGAUUGUAAAGCACGUUUAAGUUGGGAGGAAGGGUUGUAGAUUAAUACUCUGCAAUUUUGACGUUACCGACAGAAUARGCACCGGCUAACUCUGUGCCAGCAGCCGCGGUAAUACAGAGGGUGCAAGCGUUAAUCGGAAUUACUGGGCGUAAAGCGCGCGUA